AUCGGACACUAGAUGAACCCUCUACACUACGGUGGAUUACUUUGGUUUUCAGAAGAACAUUUUAGAGGGUUUUUAUUCCCUGGAGUCUGAUCGUGGCUACUGGACUGAGGAUAAGUCUGUUAGCCCCACUGUUGCUGCGCUCUCCGAGUUGCUGUUGCCGGCACCCGCCGGUUCGUCUGCCGUGCCGUACCGACCGACACUACCGUACCGCACAUCCGGUUCACCCGCGGUCGUGUGCUUCCUCUCGGUUCGGUCGACUUCGUUGAAGUUACCGGGCGUGGACUUGUCGUCUUCUGGUGAGUGACUUACAAAUUUUCUGGUGAUCUCUCAGGUAUACUAUAUUCCUCUCCGAGACUGGGACCAUUCCUCUCGAUAUACCUCUCGAAGGAUACUCAGCGCCUGG
rnacentral:lncRNA from 1 species